rnacentral:tRNA from 1 species
UCCCUGGAGGACUAGUGGUUAGGCCACAGCACUUGCACUGCUGCAGCCCAGGUUCGAUUCCCGGCCAGGUAA